UUUUUUAGGCACAUUUCUAUAUAAUGUUAAAAUAUUUAGAAGAUGUGAUGAAAUCGAUAAGUAUCAAAUGCUAAAACAAAACUUUGGAGGGAAAAUGUGUACUUGCAAAUAAAAGCUUCAUUUCAUGCUCUUUAAUUGUAGAAGAUGAAGAGUUUCAAAAACCAGCUGCUUCCACUGGUGGUGAUGGAGACUUACCGCCCCAAGUUGUAGCAGCGCGUCAACUAACCAGACCUUCAAGUGCUAGACCUGCCCCACCACGACCUAAACAAGAAGUUAUUGAAUCAGAACCAACAAUGAGGCUAGGCAGUGGUCAGCCAACUAAUUUGAUUGUUGACAAUGAGGAUGAUGAAGAUGAACAUUUUCUUGUAGAGGAGGCAUCAGCACCAUUAGCAGAACCAGAUUUUGUAAGUUGAUAGGGGAAGCUUGUGACUCUAGAAUAUUCUGCUGACAACAAUCCCCCUUUGACAUCCUAGAGGGCCAUAACAGUGUUGUAACAAGGUUACCCAUGGGAACAGGUUCAAGACUAUCUUGGUGGACCAACCUCCCCCCAUUAAGAAAAAUUUAGUGUGUGACAAAAAAAAA
rnacentral:sRNA from 1 species